rnacentral:rRNA from 1 species
GAUGAACGCUGGCGGCGUGCCUAAUACAUGCAAGUCGAGCGAACAGACGAGGAGCUUGCUCCUCUGACGUUAGCGGCGGACGGGUGAGUAACACUUGGAUAACCUACCUAUAAGACUGGGAUAACUUCGGGAAACCGGAGCUAAUACCGGAUAAUAUAUUGAACCGCAUGGUUCAAUAGUGAAAGACGGUUUUGCUGUCACUUAUAGAUGGAUCCGCGCCGCAUUAGCUAGUUGGUAAGGUAACGGCUGACCAAGGCAACGAUGCGUAGCCGACCUGAGAGGGUGAUCGGCCACACUGGAACUGAGACACGGUCCAGACUCCUACGGGAGGCAGCAGUAGGGAAUCUUCCGCAAUGGGCGAAAGCCUGACGGAGCAACGCCGCGUGAGUGAUGAAGGUCUUCGGAUCGUAAAACUCUGUUAUUAGGGAAGAACAAAUGUGUAAGUAACUAUGCACGUCUUGCCGGUACCUAAUCAGAAAGCCACGGCUAACUACGUG